rnacentral:rRNA from 1 species
UACGGAGGGUGCGAGCGUUGUCCGGAAUCACUGGGCGUAAAGGGCGCGUAGGCGGCGCGGGUAGUCAUCGGUGAAAGUUCAGGGCUCAACUCUGAAUCGGCCGGUGAUACUCCCGUGCUCGAGCACUGUAGAGGCAGGUGGAAUUCCGGGUGUAGCGGUGGAAUGCGUAGAGAUCCGGAAGAACACCGGUGGCGAAGGCGGCCUGCUGGGCAGUAGCUGACGCUGAUGCGCGACAGCGUGGGGGGCAAACAGG